rnacentral:rRNA from 1 species
CCUACGGGAGGCAGCAGUGGGGAAUAUUGGACAAUGGGGGGAACCCUGAUCCAGCCAUGCCGCGUGUGUGAAGAAGGCCCUCGGGUUGUAAAGCACUUUCAGUGAGGAAGAACGCCUGGUGGUUAAUACCCAUCAGGAAAGACAUCACUCACAGAAGAAGCACCGGCUAACUCCGUGCCAGCAGCCGCGGUAAUACGGAGGGUGCGAGCGUUAAUCGGAAUUACUGGGCGUAAAGCGCGCGUAGGUGGCUUGAUAAGCCGGUUGUGAAAGCCCCGGGCUCAACCUGGGAACGGCAUCCGGAACUGUCAAGCUAGAGUGCAGGAGAGGAAGGUAGAAUUCCCGGUGUAGCGGUGAAAGGCGUAGAGAUCGGGAGGAAUACCAGUGGCGAAGGCGGCCUUCUGGACUGACACUGACACUGAGGUGCGAAAGCGUGGGUAGCAAACAGGAUUAGAUACCCUAGUAGUC